AGUUGGUGGAGUGAUUUGUCUGGUUAAUUCCGUUAACGAACGAGACCUUUACCUGCUAAAUAGUUUGUUGUAUCUUCGGAUAUAACAUCAACUUCUUAGAGGGACUUUGUGUGUUUAACGCAAGGAAGUUAGAGGCAAUAACAGGU
rnacentral:rRNA from 1 species